rnacentral:snoRNA from 1 species
AAAGCAGGUCUGCAAUUGCAGCACUUCAUUGCAGUAGAGUGCUGUCAUUAACCCUGCUGAGAGCAUCUUUCUGUUAUGGAGCUCUUAUUCCUGCUCACUCUAGGUGAACAGGAUGCUCUGUAGCUGAACAUU